GUGUUACAGAAACUCCACGGUUUGAAGAUUUUCUUUUUUUAGUAACCGUUGUUUAGCAGCUCGUAUUAACGAGCAACUGCGUUAAUCAGAAAGAAGACCAGAUCCUGACCGUGUAGCUUUCCUGCUUACCGACAUGGUGGGAGGAAACCCACGCGGACACAGGGAGAACAUGCAAACUCCACACAGAAAGGACCCGGACCGCCCCACCUGGGGAUCGAACCCAGGACCUUCUUGCUGUGAGGCAACAGUGCUACCCACCCAGCCAUUGUGCUGCCCGAUUAACUCCUCAACUACAUUAUUAAAUAAUUAGUAAUAAUGUAAUAUAAUAUUACUUCUCAUCAUAAAAUGUGUGAAAACAUAUAACCUUUAUACCUGAAAACUUGUUUUACAUAUUAAACAAUUAUUUACAGUUGGAA